rnacentral:rRNA from 1 species
GGGUGAUUAACACGUGGGCAACCUGCCUAUAAGACUGGGAUAAUUUCGGGAAACCGGAGUUAAUACCGGAUACGUUCUUUUCUCGCAUGAGAGAAGAUGGAAAGACGGUUUUGCUGUCACUUAUAGAUGGGCCCGCGGCGCAUUAGCUAGUUGGUGAGGUAAUGGCUCUCCAAGGCGACGAUGCGUAGCCGACCUGAGAGGGUGAUCGGCCACAUUGGGACUGAGACACGGCCCAGACUCCUACGGGAGGCAGCAGUAGGGAAUCUUCCGCAAUGGACGAAAGUCUGCACGGAGCAACGCCGCGUGAACGAAGAAGGCCUUCGGGUCGUAAAGUUCUGUUGUUAGGGAAGAACAAGUACCAGAGUAACUGCUGG